AAAACCCCAACGAUACAUGGAGGCAUCAUGGGUUUGUAACUGAAGGACAAACACAAUGAGAUAAAUGAAUCAAUGCAAUCUGACACUGGAGUGAUGGGCUGUGGACGAUUAUAUAGCGCAUAAAACAAUGACGACGUCAGACUGCACGUGAAACCACAAGCCGAAGUGACAGGAAGUAAAGCCACUGAAAAUACACAUGGAGUAGGUGUCAAAGUAAAAGCACGAGAAAUAACCAACAUAGAGGUAAAAGAGAGAGCAAUAAUAGAUACAGUAAAUACUAAAAAUAUAAGACGCAGCAGAUAACAGAAGAGACAGAAACUCAAAGAUCAGUAAAUUAAUACCAGAGACGUGAACCAUGAGAGCACCAGGCUCAGUGGUGUGGAACACAAGCGGCUGCCUGCUUUCAACAUGCUCCAUUCAUGUAAACACACAACUGCUUAAACUGCAAAUCUGCAUUAAGAUUAACACAGUUGUUACUUUAAAAACAAAUUAAUAUGUAUUUCAAACUAUUAUGUAAACCUGCCAAUUCACCAUGGUUCACAUGAGUGCCAAACCGUGAGGGGUGGGCCACACGGAUCCAUAUGAUUCAUUAGACCCCAAUUACAAACUGAAGCACUUCAAGUUGGUCCAUCACUUUUUUCAGUGUAAAAGCUUCCCUUAAAGGCUCCUCAGUGCCGGUAACGAGACCAUGGUUAUUGUAAUGCUACUAGAAAUUAGUUUUAUAAUCAACUGUCUCCUUGUAGAUGAGAAAGGUAACGUCACAUAAGCAAAAGACAGAAAAAUAUGAAAAUCAGAGCUGAUUACACUUUCUUAUUAAUCUUCAAACAGAGAAUAACACAGGUUAUCCAAAGAUAAGAAGCAAAUUUCAGUCAUUUAAAGCAUGAAGCUUGAGAUGUAUUCAAGCUUGUGAAUGUGAACGUUUGACUUGUCGUAAAGUGUUUACAAAUCAGAAUUCCAGUACAGUUAAGCUUCAGGAAAAGCAAAAACAUUCCACUCAUGAGGAUCCGUGUCGUGGGAUCAGAGUCAGUGACCACAGGAAUCUCUUCCAAUCAGUUAACGGUGCCAUUAUGAUUUAUGGUGAUAUGUUAUAGGUAUUUUCAUUGAGGAUUCAUUUGGUAACAUAAGCAUGAAGAAUGCUGGGCGUUAUGGUGCUCCUCAGAGCAUGAGGU